GAAUUUUUCUGCCCACCCACUCUACCAGCUAAUUUUCCGAAGACUAAUUAGGUUGUUGAAUAUUUUUUUAAAAUGCUCCACUUCCGGAGACAAAGAAAGGGUAUAGCAACCUGAUACUUGCUAUACAUAAAGAUUGGUAAGAGGAAAAAACCCUGUCAGGGAGGAAAUCUUAUUUUGCAGAGUGAAGUAGAGGAAUUAGACUUGACUAUUUCUGGAAUACGAACUUAGCUAGGCGAGGAGACUCUAUUUCCUGAUUUAGGGUUUUCCAUGGCCAAUCUCCACUGUGACCUCGUGGACAAAAAAUGAUUUUUGUUUUCUUCAGAGAAGAACAAGUAGGUGGUUGAUUUAGAGGCUGUUGGACUGGCUCAAUUUUCAGAACAAGUGAUUUACUGUGGAUCUUUCAGAAUUCCUCUUUUAAUAAGUUUUAUUUUUAAAGAAAAGCAAUGAUAACUGAGAUUUCUGGUCCUCUGACCAAGUAGAUGAAAGUUAUCAAAGGGCAAGCAGCACCAGGUUUCCUUGUCCCACUUGUGCCCAGAAGAAGAAGAAGAAGAAAUUCAGAUGCUGCUGAAGUCUAGCAAGGACACAGAGCCGCAGUGGUGUUUAGUUCCUGUUGAAGGUCAGCCUGCAACAAGCUUGGCAUCCAGGAAGCAAUUCAAUUCUGUUUAGAAAUCGUAUCUGUAACCAAGAAAUAUUCAAUGAGUAUAGAGGAAAAGCGCUAAGAUAAAAGGGAUAUUGUUCUUGUUCUCAAAGAGCUUGGAAGUAUUCCAGUGAACACCAUUUAUGACUAUAUCAAGAAAACUUCAAAGAUAAAGACUACCCAAUGGUGUCAAAAGAAAAAGCAACAGCAGUAAAGGCAUCCAGAUGUGACUGCACAUGGUACAUUGGAAAAAACACGGGCUGUCAAGUCAGACAGAUGGAGGCUCAAACCCUGAUUCUACCACUUAAAAGCCUUGACGAUUGACGUUCUCUGAAAUUUUGCUUCCUUGUCUGUGAAAGGGGGCUCUUAAGAAUGCAUCACAUGGAAUUGCUAUAGGAAUGAAAUGAGACGUAUCCUGUCAAGUAGUACGAAUAUUAUCUCUGGUGAACAAUAAUUUUCAAUUUCCUUCUCCUCCCUCACCUCCAGACAUCUAGAUGGAAUGGUCUCUGGUUAACUUAAAAGCCAUCUCUAAUUUCGGCUUCCAAACGUGUAAUACCAUAAUAACUACA
rnacentral:lncRNA from 1 species